ACGAACGCUGGCGGCGUGCUUCACACCUGCAAGUCGCACGGAAAGGCCCUGCUUUUGUGGGGUGCUCGAGUGGCGAACGGGUGAGUAACACGUGAGUAACCUGCCCUUGACUUUGGGAUAACUUCAGGAAACUGGGGCUAAUACCGGAUAGGAGCUCCUGCUGCAUGGUGGGGGUUGGAAAGUUUCGGCGGUUGGGGAUGGACUCGCGGCUUAUCAGCUUGUUGGUGAGGUAGUGGCUUACCAAGGCUUUGACGGGUAGCCGGCCUGAGAGGGUGACCGGCCACAUUGGGACUGAGAUACGGCCCAGACUCCUACGGGAGGCAGCAGUGGGGAAUAUUGCACAAUGGGCGGAAGCCUGAUGCAGCAACGCCGCGUGCGGGAUGACGGCCUUCGGGUUGUAAACCGCUUUCGCCUGUGACGAAGCGUGAGUGACGGUAAUGGGUAAAGAAGCACCGGCUAACUACGUG
rnacentral:rRNA from 1 species